GGCCGCGUGGCCUAAUGGCUAAGGCGCUAGAUUUCGGUUCACCGCAAUCAUCCUUCUCUAGAGAUUCCAGGUUCGAAUCCUGGCGUGGUCG
rnacentral:tRNA from 1 species